rnacentral:rRNA from 1 species
UACGUAGGGACCGAGCGUUGUCCGGAUUCAUUGGGCGUAAAGAGCUCGUAGGCGGUUUGUCGCGUCUGCUGUGAAAACCCGAGGCUCAACCUCGGGCCUGCAGUGGGUACGGGCAGACUAGAGUGCGGUAGGGGAGAUUGGAAUUCCUGGUGUAGCGGUGGAAUGCGCAGAUAUCAGGAGGAACACCAAUGGCGAAGGCAGAUCUCUGGGCCGUAACUGACGCUGAGGAGCGAAAGCAUGGGGAGCGAACAGG